rnacentral:rRNA from 1 species
GGAAGGAGAAGUCGUAACAAGGUUUUCCGAUGGUCCUUCUCGCCCUCAGGGUUCGAGUCGCACGGAAGCCUGAGCAGCCUUAGGGGAACGAACCCCUAGGGGCCUGCUAGUGCCAAGCAACCCUUGUGGUGCUUGAGUGCGACGCCGCCAAACUGCGGGGAAGCCACCCUUUGCAUUGAAGGCUACCAAGCACGGCGGCCGCCAGCCCACGAGAUGUUGACGUGGGCUUGCGAGCCGAGUGCGGCCAGGCCAGCGAGCCUGGGUACGGUAAUAACGCCUCGUGCUGACCGCAACUGGUCGGGGGUCGACCCGCAGCCAACCUUGCCCCAACGGAGCAAGGUGCUGUUCACAGACUAAAUGCGACGGGUCGUGCAGAUUGCAGGCUCAAGAUAUAGUCGGUCCACUUCGGUGAGCUAGCGASUUAAGCCUUCUCGCACGAUAUUAC